CCCUAACCCCCAAGGUGAUAGCAUUAGGAGGGGGGCCUUUGGGAGGUGACUAGGUCAUGAGCAGGGAGCCCUCAUAACUGAGACUAUUCCCUUUACAGAAGAGACUCUAGCAAGUUCCUUUGCCCCUGCUAAGGUGAGGUGAUGGUGAGAAGACCAUCAUAUAUGAACUGGGAAGUGGACCCUCACCAGCCACCAACUCUGCCUGCGCCUUGACCUUGUACUUCCAGCCUCCUGUGAGGAAUAAAUUUCUGUUGUGUAUACCCUACCUCAUUUACAGCAUUUUGUUAUAGCAUCCUGAAUAGACUAAGACAGGCUAGAGGAAAAUGGGUCACAGACAAGAGUCUUGAGUACUCAAAACUAACAAAUGAUGUACAAAAAAAAAAAAAAAAGACUCUUCUUUAAGCUUCAUUGCUGUGAAUAAUGACUUCAUAAUAUUGGCAGAAAUGAUUGAAGGUCAGUUACAAGUGGAUGUUACAGGUGGAUUCAAAUGUUUGUACAUCUAAAGAUUCUUUGAAUAUUCUUCUUGGGAACUGAGUCUCCUUUCCAACCUUGGCACUUACUGCUGGUUGCUUCCCAGUGGCAUAGAGCUGGCUUGGUGUCCCGUCCUACAUCCUCAUGGCAGCCUAAGGGCCACCCCACACACUGUGUGUCGUGUCUCACAGCACUUGCUACAAGACGUGCCCAGACCUUGGCACUCCAGGAGAGCAGGGGGGAGAGACAUGCAAUACUUCUGGAAUCCUGCUGGUCGCCACGAGAAAUUAACUAACCAAACCAAGAAGGCUUUGGUGUUUUUCCAGAGACUAAGCUUUCCUCCUCAAGUUGCAAGCUACUCUUCACGCUUCCAGAUCCAAAGUACAAAUUCUUAUAAAGCGGAGACUCCAGCCCAAUGCUCUUCAGAUGUUUGUUCACGAAGGGGCAAGAGAAAGGAUCUUUUACCUAAAAAUGCCUCCAAAAACGGGAUCGAUCUGGUCAUAGAUGGGCUGAGUGAUGGCUUCGUUCAGAUCUAUUCUUGCAAGAGUCCUGGAGGCAUAGAUGCCAUUUUUCAGGCAAACAGCUUUCAGAGUCUGAUGAAAGCCCUGGUUUCCUCUACUCCUCUAGAAUGCAAAGGAACUGACAAAACUCUUGCCUUCCAACUUUCCAUCAAUGAACAAAGACUUGAGACCAAUAUCUGAGGCCAAAGAAUUUUGAGGGAAAAUGCUGGCAAAAGGCUAUCUGAAGGGCUACCCGAGAAGCGCCAACCGGCUCCCUGCCCUGUGUUUGCUGUCGCCUACAGUCUGGCUGCAAGGAUGGUAUUUCAUCCCCACACAGGCUGCCCCUCUGCCUCAGCAGAGGAGAGCAUGGGGG